rnacentral:rRNA from 1 species
UACCAGCACCCCGAGUGGUCGGGACGUUUAUUGGGCCUAAAGCAUCCGUAGCCGGUUCUACAAGUCUUCCGUUAAAUCCAGCUGCUUAACAGAUGGGCUGCGGAAGAUACUAUGGAGCUAGGAGGCGGGAGAGGCAAGCGGUACUCGAUGGGUAGGGGUAAAAUCCGUUGAUCCAUUGAAGACCACCAGUGGCGAAGGCGGCUUGCCAGAACGCGCUCGACGGUGAGGGAUGAAAGCUGGGGGAGCAAAGCCGG